AUUGAACGCUGGCGGCAGGCUUAACACAUGCAAGUCGAGCGGAGAUGAGGUGCUUGCACCUUAUCUUAGCGGCGGACGGGUGAGUAAUGCUUAGGAAUCUGCCUAUUAGUGGGGGACAACAUUCCGAAAGGAAUGCUAAUACCGCAUACGUCCUACGGGAGAAAGCAGGGGAUCUUCGGACCUUGCGCUAAUAGAUGAGCCUAAGUCAGAUUAGCUAGUUGGUGGGGUAAAGGCCUACCAAGGCGACGAUCUGUAGCGGGUCUGAGAGGAUGAUCCGCCACACUGGGACUGAGACACGGCCCAGACUCCUACGGGAGGCAGCAGUGGGGAAUAUUGGACAAUGGGGGGAACCCUGAUCCAGCCAUGCCGCGUGUGUGAAGAAGGCCUUAUGGUUGUAAAGCACUUUAAGCGAGGAGGAGGCUACUGAGACUAAUACUCUUGGAUAGUGGACGUUACUCGCAGAAUAAGCACCGGCUAACUCUGUGCCAGCAGCCGCAGUAA
rnacentral:rRNA from 1 species